rnacentral:rRNA from 1 species
CAAGGGGGUCAUCCCGACUUACCAACCCGAUGCAAACUGCGAAUACCGGAGAAUGUUAUCACGGGAGACACACGGCGGGUGCUAACGUCCGUCGUGAAGAGGGAAACAACCCAGACCGCCAGCUAAGGUCCCAAAGUCAUGGUUAAGUGGGAAACGAUGUGGGAAGGCCCAGACAGCCAGGAUGUUGGCUUAGAAGCAGCCAUCAUUUAAAGAAAGCGUAAUAGCUCACUGGUCGAGUCGGCCUGCGCGGAAGAUGUAACGGGGCUAAACCAUGCACCGAAGCUGCGGCAGCGACGCUGAUGCGUUGUUGGGUAGGGGAGCGUUCUGUAAGCCUGCGAAGGUGUGCUGUGAGGCAUGCUGGAGGUAUCAGAAGUGCGAAUGCUGACAUAAGUAACGAUAAAGCGGGUGAAAAGCCCGCUCGCCGGAAGACCAAGGGUUCCUGUCCAACGUUAAUCGGGGCAGGGUGAGUCGACCCCUAAGGCGAGGCCGAAAGGCGUAGUCGAUGGGAAACAGGUUAAUAUUCCUGUACUUGGUGUUACUGCGAAGGGGGGACGGAGAAGGCUAUGUUGGCCGGGCGACGGUUGUCCCGGUUUAAGCGUGUAGGCUGGUUUUCCAGGCAAAUCCGGAAAAUCAAGGCUGAGGCGUGAUGACGAGGCACUACGGUGCUGAAGCAACAAAUGCCCUGCUUCCAGGAAAAGCCUCUAAGCAUCAGGUAACAUCAAAUCGUACCCCAAACCGACACAGGUGGUCAGGUAGAGAAUACCAAGGCGCUUGAGAGAACUCGGGUGAAGGAACUAGGCAAAAUGGUGCCGUAACUUCGGGAGAAGGCACGCUGAUAUGUAGGUGAAGCGACUUGCUCGUGGAGCUGAAAUCAGUCGAAGAUACCAGCUGGCUGCAACUGUUUAUUAAAAACACAGCACUGUGCAAACACGAAAGUGGACGUAUACGGUGUGACGCCUGCCCGGUGCCGGAAGGUUAAUUGAUGGGGUCAGCGCAAGCGAAGCUCUUGAUCGAAGCCCCGGUAAACGGCGGCCGUAACUAUAACGGUCCUAAGGUAGCGAAAUUCCUUGUCGGGUAAGUUCCGACCUGCACGAAUGGCGUAAUGAUGGCCAGGCUGUCUCCACCCGAGACUCAGUGAAAUUGAACUCGCUGUGAAGAUGCAGUGUACCCGCGGCAAGACGGAAAGACCCCGUGAACCUUUACUAUAGCUUGACACUGAACAUUGAGCCUUGAUGUGUAGGAUAGGUGGGAGGCUUUGAAGUGUGG